AUAUACUUUUUUUUUUUUUUUGGGAGAGUAUUUAACCUUCGUUAAUUUAUCUUUUCAUUAAAAUUCAAUACUUAAAUGAUAUGUUAUGCAUAACUAAUUUUCAAAAAGCGGUUCAUACUUUCAAAAACGUAUUCGACCCUUCGCCUUCUCUCCACUGUCCCAAUUAAUGCAUCCACGGUUUCAAUACAAUUACAUCUAUCUAUAAUCUAUUAUUUAUUAUUUAUUAAACUCCUCAAUAUUUAAACUGAUUUGGCAUACUCUCCUUAUUUUAGAAAGAAAAUUUAACCUUCAUUAUUUUGUCUCUUUAUUAAAGAUCAAUACUUAAAUGAUACUAGUGCAGAGACCCGCGCGAUGCGGCAAAUAGAUAAAAAAGUUCAAAAUUUAAAAUUUUAAAAAAUAAAAUUACAAUUAGAAUCCUAAAUACAAAUUUUCUAAAUUAUAAAAGUUUGAAUGAAA
rnacentral:lncRNA from 1 species